rnacentral:rRNA from 1 species
GAUGAACGCUGGCGGCGUGCCUAAUACAUGCAAGUCGAGCGAACGGACGAGAAGCUUGCUUCUCUGAUGUUAGCGGCGGACGGGUGAGUAACACGUGGAUAACCUACCUAUAAGACUGGGAUAACUUCGGGAAACCGGAGCUAAUACCGGAUAAUAUUUUGAACCGCAUGGUUCAAAAGUGAAAGACGGUCUUGCUGUCACUUAUAGAUGGAUCCGCGCUGCAUUAGCUAGUUGGUAAGGUAACGGCUUACCAAGGCAACGAUGCAUAGCCGACCUGAGGGGGUGAUCGGCCACACUGGAACGGGGACACGGUCCAGACUCCUACGGGAGGCAGCAGUAGGGAAUCUUCCGCAAUGGGCGAAAGCCUGACGGAGCAACGCCGCGUGAGUGAUGAAGGUCUUCGGAUCGUAAAACUCUGUUAUUAGGGAAGAACAUAUGUGUAAGUAACUGUGCACAUCUUGACGGUACCUAAUCAGAAAGCCACGGCUAACUACGUG